rnacentral:rRNA from 1 species
UUGGAACUGAGACACGGUCCAAACUCCUACGGGAGGCAGCAGUGAGGAAUAUUGGUCAAUGGACGAGAGUCUGAACCAGCCAAGUAGCGUGCAGGAAGACGGCCCUAUGGGUUGUAAACUGCUUUUAUAAGGGAAUAAAGUGAGAGUCGUGACUCUUUUUGCAUGUACCUUAUGAAUAAGGACCGGCUAAUUCCGUGCCAGCAGCCGCGGUAAUACGGAAGGUCCGGGCGUUAUCCGGAUUUAUUGGGUUUAAAGGGAGCGUAGGCCGGAGAUUAAGCGUGUUGUGAAAUGUAGAUGCUCAACAUCUGAACUGCAGCGCGAACUGGUUUCCUUGAGUACGCACAAAGUGGGCGGAAUUC